rnacentral:rRNA from 1 species
AGCGAACGCUGGCGGCAGGCCUAACACAUGCAAGUCGAACGGAUCCUUCGGGAUUAGUGGCGGACGGGUGAGUAACACGUGGGAACGUACCUUUAGGUUCGGAAUAACGCAGGGAAACUUGCGCUAAUACCGAAUGUGCCCUUCGGGGAAAGAUUUAUCGCCUUUAGAGCGGCCCGCGUUAGAUUAGCUAGUUGGUGGGUAAUGGCUCACCAAGGCUACGAUCUAUAGCUGGUCUGAGAGGANGAUCAGCCACACUGGGACUGAGACACGGCCCAGACUCCUACGGGAGGCAGCAGUGGGGAAUCUUGCGCAAUGGGCGAAAGCCUGACGCAGCCAUGCCGCGUG